GUGCCGCGGCUGCACCCAUGGGAGCGCAGGGAUGGGACCCCCAAAUCCCCGCUGCCAGAGCCCCCCCCGUGGUGCCAGGAGGGUUUGAUGCAAAGCUCGGUGUCGGGACCUUGGAGCCUGCUGCCUGUCCUCAGUUUCCCCAUCCCGCAGCGGUGGCCGGAGCGAGGGUCCCUUGGGUGCCCCGGCACAAGGCGCUGGUGGUCGGUGGCCACCGGUGCCGGGGAACCUCCCGGAGAGCAAAACCUGCUGGCACGCGGCUCCUUCACCUGCUGCGUGCUCCCACAGGUCCCCAGCCGAGGACGAGCCCCUCUGCGUCCUCACAGCGGGGAUUUGGGGCUGGAGCAGGCGUUGGGAGCAGGUUUGCUUCUUGCUUCCUCCCCUGCGAGCCCUGACUGCGACCUGGCCCCGGCUGGGUGCAAAGGGCCGGGGGAGAUGCGUGGAGGCGCAGGCUGGGUGCGCUGUGGCGCAGGAUUCCCUCCUGCCCUGCUGGCACUCGGGGAAAAAUCCUUGCCCCCAGCACCCAGGGGACGGAGGAGCCGGGUGCGUGCCCCGCCAAGAUGAGCACCGAGCCGAGGGGUUGGGUGCGGGGCAGCCCCCCCAAAAUCCCCAUCCCUGAUGGAGGGGGACCUCUGGAGGAGCUGACCCCUCGCCGGCACACCGAGCAGUGCCGGUGCCGUGCCGAGCCCGGCCCCGGCACUGAGCGGGGCAUGGACGGCCCCGAAAUCUUCCUGGGCCCCUGCGAGGGAGCCCUCUGCGGGGUCCCGGGGCAGAAGCGCCGCUGCAUGUCGGCCCUGGAGCCCGUCACUGUGCCCAGCCCCAAAUCCGAGGCCAGCUGGGGCGAGGAGGAGGAGGAAGAGGAGGAAGAUGAAGAGGAUGAAGAGCGGUCCCGGGGGGUGCCGCUGCGGCGAGCCUGUGCCCUGCGGACCUCGAUGCGCAGCCGGGACCCGUUCCGACGGCACAGCUGGGAGCCGGGCAAGGAGCUGCGCGGGGUCCCCGGCUACGACCAGCUCAGCGUGAGCCUCAAGGGGCUGAGCCCCGACGACAUCGACUCCAGCACGGAGCAGCUGGACGGGCUGGGGAGACGCCGGUGGGACCCCCGGAGAGCCCCCCUGAUCCACAGCACCGAGUCCCUGCUGUCCCUGGACGAGGAGGACGAGGCCGAUCUGCAGCGGGCGCAGGAGGACGCGCGGAGGCUUCAGGUGUACGGGGCCAGGAGCGCCGGCGGCUGCGCCCUCGCCAAAUCCGCGUCCCUCAGCGUCAUCGACAGCUUCCCCCCCGCCGUGGGUGAGUGCCAGCGCCCGCAGGG
rnacentral:lncRNA from 1 species